ACAGUAUGAAAUUUCAUACAGUUUCCUAACUUGAGAAAACAUGGUGAUGCAAUUCCUCCAACCAGAAGGGAUUUAUGGACAGCAGUGGCUAGGUCCUAAUCUGCCCUGAAUACAGGAUGACUACACAAAUUCGCAGAUGGACGCAGCUUUCUCUCUAAGAAAAGUCUGCUGAGAACCCUCGUUCCCGCUCUGUUUCUGCCUCCAAGAAGAAAAGCCUAAAACUCACUUUCUUCCAGACUCUUUAAAGGAAGCUGACUUAAAGAAGCUCUUAAACCAGAGGUGCAGACAAGGUGAUGUGGCUCUCAGAGGAUGGUGUGCUAUCUACAACCCUGCUGGCUUCAUGGAAGAAUGCGCUUCUCAAAUGCAAAUCCAAUCAAGUUAUCCCCUGCUUAAAUCCAAACUCUUUCAUGUGGCCCACAAAGCCUACCUUGCCUGCCAAUCUCUAACCUCACCCAAAACACACUUCCAUUGUUCUCCAGGUUCCAGUACCCUGACCUUUUGGUCUGCACUGUGCCAGGCUCCCUCCAGCCCUGAAGCCUUUGCACAUGCUAUUCCUCCUGUCUGGAACUACUCAUUCUCCAGGCUUUAGCUCAAAUGACUCUUCCCGAGAGCCUUCUCUGACCCCAGUCCAGGUCAAGUUCCUCUGUCACAUGCCUGACCCUGAAUCCCUCCUUGACAGCACUUAUAUCAGCUUGUAAUACA